UAACAAUAUAUUUCUAAAGUUUUGAGUCAUUCCCGUUCAUUUGAAGCGUAAUUUCCCCCUUACUGUGGCUAGUUUGGAUGAGAUGACUUGACCCUAGCUAGCAUAACAUAAAUGGCAGCUAGCUCUACACUAUUUCGGGCAUUCGUUAACAAUCAGUGUUCAGAUAACUAGCGCAAACGUGCCGAGAUAUCUUGUUUAUUAUAAAAAUAAACGCUUGUGUUGUGCCAUGGCUUAUAUGGUGAUGACGUUUGAGAUUGUAAAUUUACGGGCCACAGAUGUGUCUAUGGUAAGGCCGACCUGACGAGAUAGCUGCCUACUGAGGUUUGAUUGGAUAUGGACAUUGUUUAUUUCAGAAGGAAAAUGUUUGGAGUGGAAUUGUUUGGAAGACAAUCUUGGGACAAUUUUGCUCUUUGGGUCUUUGUGCCAACCAUGCCAGCUAUCGUAGGGUGCUCUGGGAACUUCUUAGAUCUGUUUACUGUAUGUACACUUACUGAAAUAAGCAUUUUGUUUACAUAAAAUCCCUUGUCAUUUCACCACUAGGUUUGAAACCCAGACAGCACGAAGCAUCUUGCCGACGUCAAAAUCAGAUCAACAGACAGGGACAUCAGCCUUCUCUUGGGAAUAGGCCAGAUAUGCCAUAACAAGAAAUGGUGUGUUGCCCCUGCGGUUGUGAAGAGGAUGCUGUGGAGGUGGCAGCAUGAACGUGUCACACAGACAUUGGCUAAACUACUCGGCUUCUACACUUGCCCUCAGAGUUCACAUAUGGUGAAGUGCACAGGUGUCCAGUCAGGUUCAGACUGAUGCUGGUAACAAGAGGAAAACAUGCUAAUUGAUGACCUUUCCAGCAUGUCCAACUCAUCAGCAUCAGGGGAGGAGAGUCGGUGAAGGUGGUGCACCAUCCAGGACCAGUCAUGGGCCACCAACACCUCUGCAAAAUCUGCACUUCUUGUGAACCCUCUAGAAGACACUACAAUCACAAAACUGCUAAUAAACCAUCACAUACUACAUCACAUCAUGGUUCUCCAUGUGUUACUGCACCCUCGGCACAAGUUCUUUGCUAGAUUGCCAUCUGGCAGAUGCAUCAGGACAGAAAUGUAGCUACUAUUUGUGAUUAUAUCUCCCCACACUCUUUCUUGCUUUGUAUGGCAGUGUGUCUCUGUGUGUGUCAGAAUGGAAGGUGUCGCACCAUUGAAGUCAAUGGGCAGUGGCAUUGCAUGAGGGAUAUAGAAGUCCAGAUAUCCUUGAUGCUUUGGUGCCAGCUGUUUUUUUUUUUUUUUUAUCUGGUCACCCACACUUCCCUCUUCAUUAUGUCCUAUAGAUUUCCAUACCACGUUUUGGUGCUUUGGUGGUACGGACAUUCUAACUCACCAGAAAAAAAGAAAAAAAUGAAAAUGAAUGGAGGGUUAUGUCUGGUGAUUUCUGGCAAAUUAGAAUGCCCAUAACAUCAAAGUGGCACUGGAUUACUCAACCAUUUGCCCCUUAAAAGAUAGCUUCUGCCAAUUUCAAUAUGCUGUUGUAUACCUCAUGCUACCCUUGACUUGUCAGUACCCGGUGAUGCUGGCAUUUUUUUGACUCAGCUCUUUCUGAGAUUUGAGCUAUUCUAAUAGGGGCAGACUUUGAUUGCAUUAAAAACCUUCUUAACAUAGGUCUAAUCCAAAUACUAUCCCAAAAGGUAUCACUGUCUGUUUGCUAGUUGUCUGCUGAUGUUGCAUAACCUUUUGAAUGUUAUUGGGAAUAAAUGAAGAUGUUUUUUUGAAAUGUAAACAAACGUUUGUCCCCAUUACAAUGACAUGGGUAUGUGGAAGAGCUGUCCCUUACUCAUGCACCUGUUUAACAAAAUGUUAUUUUUAUUCAAGUAUGCAUCGUGUCUAGGGGUAUGCAGUGUUUUUGUUAUAUAAAUGGCACAUUACUUUAUACUGUAGGCCUAAGUUAUUUCAGAUUAUUUAAAAUGGCAUCUGGGAAUUCCAAAAUAAAGGUGAAAUAAAACACUGGUGUCCCUUUUAUUUGGCUCUUAUACAUGGGGGGGGGGGGGUUCUUUUAUAAUCUUUGUAGCAUAUUCAUCCUCUUCUCAGUUGCAUGGCUGAGACUGUUUAAAUAGGCUACUGCCUGCCAAUACUGCACGCUUCUACUUAGUUGCAUUU